GUGCUCGCUUCGGCAGCACGUACACUAAAAUUGGAACGACAGAGAAGGUUAGCACGGCCCCUGCACAAGGAUGAUUCGCAAAUUCGUGAAGCGUUCCAUAGGGAA